UACGUAGGGGGCAAGCGUUGUCCGGAAUCAUUGGGCGUAAAGCGCGUGUAGGCGGCCCGGUAAGUCCGCUGUGAAAGUCGGGGGCUCAACCCUCGAAUGCCGGUGGAUACUGUCGGGCUAGAGUGCGGAAGAGGCGAGUGGAAUUCCUGGUGUAGCGGUGAAAUGCGCAGAUAUCAGGAGGAACACCAAUGGCGAAGGCAGCUCGCUGGAACGGUACUGACGCUGAGGCGCGAAAGCGUGGGGAGCAAACAGG
rnacentral:rRNA from 1 species